rnacentral:rRNA from 1 species
UACGUAGGGUGCAAGCGUUGUCCGGAAUUAUUGGGCGUAAAGAGCUCGUAGGCGGUCUGUCGCGUCGGCUGUGAAAUCCCGAGGCUCAACCUCGGGUCUGCAGUCGAUACGGGCAAACUGGAGUGUUGCAGGGGAGACUGGAAUUCCUGGUGUAGCGGUGAAAUGCGCAGAUAUCAGGAGGAACACCGGUAGCGAAGGCGGGUCUCUGGGCAACAACUGACGCUGAGGAGCGAAAGCGUGGGGAGCGAACAGG